rnacentral:rRNA from 1 species
AUACGUAGGGUGCGAGCGUUGUCCGGAAUUACUGGGCGUAAAGAGCUCGUAGGUGGUUUGUCGCGUUGUUCGUGAAAACUCACAGCUUAACUGUGGGCGUGCGGGCGAUACGGGCAGACUGGAGUACUGCAGGGGAGACUGGAAUUCCUGGUGUAGCGGUGGAAUGCGCAGAUAUCAGGAGGAACACCGGUGGCGAAGGCGGGUCUCUGGGCAGUAACUGACGCUGAGGAGCGAAAGCGUGGGGAGCGAACAGGAUUAGAUACCCUGGUAGUCCACGCCGUAAACGGUGGGUACUAGGUGUGGGUUUCCUUCCUUGGGAUCCGUGCCGUAGCCAACGCAUUAAGUACCCCGCCUGGGGAGUACGGCCGCAAGAUUAAAACUCAAAGGAAUUGACGGGGCCCGCACAAGCGGUGGAGCAUGUGGUUUAAUUCGAAGCAACGCGCAGAACCUUACCAACCCUUGACAUCCUGUGCUAUAUUUAGAGAUAGAUAGUUCCCUUCGGGGACGCAGUGACAGGUGCUGCA